UACAGAGGUGGCAAGCGUUGUUCGGAAUUACUGGGCGUAAAGGGCGCGUAGGCGGCCAUCUAAGUCCGCCGUGAAAUCCCCCGGCUUAACCUGGGAACUGCGUCUGAUACUGGAAGGCUUGAGUAUGGGAGAGGGAUGUAGAAUUCCAGGUGUAGCGGUGAAAUGCGUAGACAUCUGGAGGAAUACCGGUGGCGAAGGCGGCAUCCUGGACCAUUACUGACGCUGAGGCGCGAAAGCGAGGGGAGCAAACGGG
rnacentral:rRNA from 1 species